rnacentral:lncRNA from 1 species
AUUUAAAGGCAGUUCUUUAUCAGUCACACCUCUUUCCACAGUGACUACAGAGUCUCAAGUAUAAAAACCAGAGUUCUAGAAACAGAGUGAAGACAAGUUAACCAUGGGAAAAGAUUAGGAGUAAAUUCCCGAAGUCCUGUUCAGAAGGACUCUCAAUCACUCAGCUCUUAAAGCAACCUGUCAGUUUUCCUCCCUUUGAGGAAAAAUAAGCAAAAAUUGGCCAGGUGCGGUGGCUCACACCUGUAAUCCCAGCACUUUGGGAGGCCGAGGCGGGUGGAUCACAAGGUCAGCAGAUCGAGACCAUCCUGGCUAACACGGUGAAACCCCGUCUCUACUAAAAAUACAAAAAAUUCUCCGGGCGUGGUGGCGGGCGCCUGUAGUCCCAGCUACUUGGGAGGCUGAGGCAGGAGAAUGGUGUGAGCCCGGGAGGCGGAGCUUGCAGUGAGCCGAGAUCCUGCCACUGCACUCCAGCCUGGGAGACAGAGUGAGACUCCAUCUCAAAAAAAAAAAAAAGCAAAAAUUAAAACCUUGUCAGUAGACAGAGACAUUUUCCCUUUGAAAAUUGAUAAAUUCUGCUUCUCUGUGUGAGCGAUGUAACAUGUGACAUUUCUUACACUGCCCCCUAUAAGUUGCUUACUAGCUUCCCUUCUUCUCCCCUGAGACUCUUUUUUGGUCUCUGCUUUGCCUCAGCCUCUUUGCUUUCAGUUGUCUCAUCUGUAGUCUGGUUCCCAAAGCUAGCCUUGAUACCUGAAGCAACAGGCUCUGCUCAGUAUGAAGCUGAAGCCUGGGCAUUUUUUUUUUGCUCAGACUACAUAAGUGUUAAGGCUCAAAAAACGGAAAGGAAUUUACAGAAAGGACUCUGCUGACAAUUAGAAAGAGGGCUUAUAGGUCAGGUGCCAUGGCUCACUCCUGUAAUCACCCAGCACUUUGGGAUGCCGAGGUGGGUGGAUCACAAGGUGAGGAGUUCGAGACCAGCCUGGCCAACAUGGUGAAACCCCCAUCUCUACUAAAAAAAUACAAACAAUUAGCCGGGCAUGGUGGUGUAUGCCUGCAAUCCCAGCUACUCGGGAGGCUGAGGUAGGAGAAUUGCUUGAACCCGGGAGGCGGAGGUUGCAGUGAGCUGAGAUCGCACCACUGCACUCUAGCCUGGGUGACAGAGCAAGACUCUGUCUCAAUAAAAUUAAAAAAAAAAAAAAGAGGGUUUAUAAAUAUAAACGUUUGUUUUCACAUGUAGUUUAUUUAUUUAAAAAAAUAGAGACAGGGGUCUUGCUAUGUUGACCAGGCUAGAUAUGAACUCUUGGGCUCAAGCGAUCCUCCUGCCUCAGCCUCCCGAGUAGCUGGGACUACAGGCGCACGCCACUGUGCCCGGCUAGUUUACUUCUUUCAGAACAUUUGUUAUCAGCAAAUUUAAACAUUUCAACAAAUAUUUCAGUUUCCAUUUGGAAACAAAAUUCUUGUUUGAAAAGCUGACUGGAAACCUGUGAGAAUGGGAGUUCCACCCUCCUGUGGGGAUGGAGGUUGAAACAGCACCAGAGGCUUCAAGACCAGUCUCCUCUCAUUUCGGGGCAGUAAGAUACAUUUAGCUUACUUAAACAGACUGUGCUGGCAGAGCAAGUCAGUGGCAGAGCUGAAGUUCAGCAUUGUCCUGUGGAACUCCUGGAUUUUUCUCUUAAUUUGCUUCAUGGCAGGAGUGUUACAUUUAGUCUUGAAGGUCAUUUGUUUCAGCAUCUUGUCUGUCAGGUAAUGUAACCAGAGCACAUUACUAUAAGGGUGAUAUUCACCCCAGCGGUUGUUAUUCUCCUUCUUCAUGAGCCUGUAGAUGUCAAACUGGUAGUCACCGUCACCGGUAAACAGGUCCUCAUCCAUGGAAACGUCACAGAAAACCACAAUCCCAUCCCGUUCCAAGCGCGACAGGGUGUAGUCAAUGAUGCUCUCUCCGGACGGCCUCUUGAAGCCCUCUCUCUUGACAAGAGUCCUGGCCUGUGGCCCUCCUCUUGCCUGUGCUUGACAGACCUGGACCCUCUGGUCCAUUUCCCACCACCAGUUUCCUUUUACAGCAGGACUCUCUCAUAUUCUUCCCAUCUGCCCGAAACUCAGAAUCCUCAGGGGUUCCUGAGUUCAUAAGGCCAAAGAGAACUGACCUGAGGCUGGCGCGGGUUUGGUGGACCAUCCUGGUGUCCUUGGCUCCUCCUGUCGCUUCCUCCUGGGAGCAGGGGAGAGAUGCUCGGUCCAGGGAGACUUCUGGGAGGUGGAGGCCGCUCGGGACGGCUGAGGCUGCAACCAGACAGGCGGAGGUGCCGAUCGAGAUGACACUGUCCCUUGGCGUUGGGGACCCGGGGCAGGGCGAGGCCAGAGAGCUGAACAGGGAGGCACUGAUGCCCAGCUCGUCGCCGUCCCUGGGCUGGCCGCACACGCUGAGGUCCGGGCUGAGGCGGCCGGAGUCGCGGCUGGGGAAGGGCGGAAGUCGGAGCGGGCCGCAGGGUGUGCUGCACUUCUGCGGGGGCCGAGCUCGCAGCCCCAGGCGUCUUGGGGUCACGGUUAGGCUUGGGCGAGCUCGCAGCUUCCAGCGCUUUGGGGUCACGGUCAGGCUGGGCCGGUCCUUGGGCACUCGGCCGCCGGGACGCCUCCGCCGCCGCCUCACCGGGCUGCCGGGGAAGUCGGGGUCGUCGGGAUCGUCAGGAUCGUCGGACUGCGAGGGGUCGCCGAUGCUGGCGUCGCUGCUGCCGCUGCUGUUGAAGAAACGCCUCCGGUCCUGCGGCGGGAACCACUGCGCGGCUUCCCGGCCCGGCCGCCGCUGUCUCCUGCCGUCCGCAGCCCCAUAUGUGCGGAAAAGCCGGCUCCCAGGUCCCGGGAGCGAAGCCGCCAUGGCCGGCACCCGCCAAGAGGUUCAAACGCAAA